rnacentral:rRNA from 1 species
GACGAACGCUGGCGGCGUGCUUAACACAUGCAAGUCGAACGGAAAGGCCCUGCUUUUGUGGGGUGCUCGAGGGGCGAACGGGUGAGUAACACGUGAGUAACCUGCCCUUGACUUUGGGAUAACUUCAGGAAACUGGGGCUAAUACCGGAUAGGAGCUCCUGCUGCAUGGGGGGGGUUGGAAAGUUUCGGCGGUUGGGGAUGGACUCGCGGCUUAUCAGCUUGUUGGUGGGGUAGUGGCUUACCAAGGCUUUGACGGGUAGCCGGCCUGAGAGGGUGACCGGCCACAUUGGGACUGAGAUACGGCCCAGACUCCUACGGGAGGCAGCAGUGGGGAAUAUUGCACAAUGGGCGGAAGCCUGAUGCAGCAACGCCGCGUGCGGGAUGACGGCCUUCGGGUUGUAAACCGCUUUCGCAUGUGACGAAGCGUGAGUGACGGUAAUGGGUAAAGAAGCACCGGCUAACUACGUG